rnacentral:lncRNA from 1 species
UUCGUUUCCCUUAUUUGUCAUCAGUCCGUAAGAUGCAUCAUCUCAGAGAAAUAGACUUGUCCAAAUGUGGACAGGUGGAAUACAUCAAUUAAAGUACUGAAUAUAUACAAAUCAUUUGAAAUUUUCUUGUUUCAUAGAUAACAAAAAAUAUCGAUCAUUGGGAUAAAAACCGGAUUGCAUGACAACUGAUUAACCCGAUAUUGUCGUUUUUCCAUUGGACGAGUCUAUUACGUUUU